rnacentral:rRNA from 1 species
CCUACGGGAGGCAGCAGUGAGGAAUAUUGGUCAAUGGACGAGAGUCUGAACCAGCCAAGUCGCGUGAAGGAUGACUGCCCUAUGGGUUGUAAACUUCUUUUAUAUGGGAAUAAAAUGUUCCACGUGUGGGCUUUUGUAUGUACCAUAUGAAUAAGGCUCGGCUAACUCCGUGCCAGCAGCCGCGGUAAUACGGAGGAUCCGAGCGUUAUCCGGAUUUAUUGGGUUUAAAGGGAGCGUAGGUGGAUUUUUAAGUCAGUUGUGAAAGUUUGCGGCUCAACCGUAAAAUUGCAGUUGAAACUGGCAGUCUUGAGUACAGUAGAGGUGGGCGGAAUGCGUGGUGUAGCGGUGAAAUGCUUAGAUAUCACGAAGAACUCCGAUUGCGAAGGCAGCUCACUGGACUGCAACUGACACUGAGGCUCGAAAGUGUGGGUAUCAAACAGGAUUAGAUACCCGGGUAGUC